UACGGAGGGUGCGAGCGUUGUCCGGAAUCACUGGGCGUAAAGGGCGCGUAGGCGGCCUGAUAAGUAGGGGGUGAAAUCCUGCGGCUUAACCGCAGGGCUGCCUUCUAAACUGUCAGGCUUGAGCACAGUAGAGGCAGGUGGAAUUCCCGGUGUAGCGGUGGAAUGCGUAGAUAUCGGGAGGAACACCAGUGGCGAAGGCGACUUCCUGGCCUGUUCUUGACGCUGAGGCGCGAAAGCUAGGGGAGCAAACGGG
rnacentral:rRNA from 1 species